AAUGCCCUCAAGUUGUUGCUGGUGUGACUGCUGUAGCACAUGUGUGUCAGUAGGUGGCAGAGAAGAGAGAGGCUUUGUCUAUGCUCAGUGUUCUGCCAUGUGAACAUCUGAGUGAUUAGUAGCUUAACAUU